GUGCCAGCAGCCGCCGUAAUACGUAGGUGGCAAGCGUUGUCCGGAUUUAUUGGGCGUAAAGCGAGCGCAGGCGGUUUUUUAGGUCUGAUGUGAAAGCCUUCGGCUUAACCGGAGAAGGGCAUCGGAAACCGGGAGACUUGAGUGCAGAAGAGGACAGUGGAACUCCAUGUGUAGCGGUGAAAUGCGUAGAUAUAUGGAAGAACACCAGUGGCGAAAGCGGCUGUCUGGUCUGUAACUGACGCUGAGGCUCGAAAGCAUGGGUAGCGAACAGGAUUAGAUACCCUGGUAGUCCAUGCCGUAAACGAUGAGUGCUAAGUGUUGGAGGGUUUCCGCCCUUCAGUGCUGCAGCUAACGCAUUAAGCACUCCGCCUGGGGAGUACGACCGCAAGGUUGAAACUCAAAGGAAUUGACGGGGCCCGCACAAGCGGUGGAGCAUGUGGUUUAAUUCGAUGCUACGCGAAGAACCUUACCAGGUCUU
rnacentral:rRNA from 1 species